rnacentral:lncRNA from 1 species
AAGCUUUCUAUCAUGGAAUGUGCCAGCAUGAGUCUAAGGUAGUGAGAGGGAGAGAGGAAGAAGCGAGUGAGUGGAGGACAAGGAUGAUGACCAGGUCCAGCAAGGGAGGUGUCCUCCGUGAAUGAUGGAAGGGAGAGAGGGGAGGAGGAAGUGGUGGCAUUAGAGAUUCGGCAAGGUGGCACCACCAUGAGCAGCAGUGAGGGAAGAGAGUGAGUAGGCAGUGGAGGUGAGGAAGAGGGGGACUACAGUUUUCAAGGAGAAAGGCCUUAGAGGCUCUAAAACCCUCCGGAGGGAUCAGUUUGGCUUAGGAGAACCAAGUCGGCGUCGCCCGAAACCAAGCAGAACCAGUUGGUCCAGCAUGGCUUGGCCCAGCUCAAACUGGUUUGCCCCAUAUCCAGUUUUGAAAGUGCAAACCAUCACGGUUCCUGGUCAGUUGACAUGUUAUGCCUCAAACCAAGCAAUUCGGAUGGUUUGGUGAAUCUUGUCUUCAGCUAAGCCUCACGAUAAAUCAUUAACUGCUUUAAGGCAUUCAUAAAUUGAUGAAUGCCAUUCCACAUUUGACAAUACCUUGUUUUUGACAUGAUCAAAACGGAGAGAGUAUCAGGACUCCCAACUUGUUCUGAAGAGUGGUUCAAUAUUUUUUAACAUUAUUGCCUAGAAUAGCUAAAGCAUGACAUUGUACCAUAACAUGCAACAGCUUUAGUAAAUCCACAGCAGCAAACCAGCCCGGACAGAACCUGAAAUGCAAGGAUGAAAACAAGAAGCAUCCAACAAAACAUCUUCCACAAUCAACAGCUCAACCAGAAGUUUUUAGCUGUACAUCUAUCAACAUCAAGCAUAUAGUUGCAAGUACAUGAUAUCAUGGAAGGCACAGAUUAGACAGAAGACAGGACAUAGCAGUAGAAGGAAAAAAAAAAAAGGUGAAGCGGAUUUAAGAACAAUAAUAUUUUAAGGAUCAAAUACAUCUGUAUAGACACAAAUAUGAACAAGGCCUGAACCUGAAAAGAAAAUACAUUAGAUUAAGAACAGACAGACCUUCUAAAUCUAUUAUGUAUAUACAUAUAAAAACGGAAGCCUCUCAAUGGAGAAGUCUCCGUUUGACACGUGUAGCUUUGAAUACAGUGGGAGGGAGCAACGUGGCAAAAAAUAAAAAAAAUCAUUGCGCUUCGAUUUCGAAGCGGCAGAGAGGAAAUAACAGGCCGUACGGGGGAGGAGGAGGUGUUUCUUUGGUUCCGGUUGGGGUUUUUGGUUUUUGAACAAUGUGCCCCGCCGAAAAUUUUCAUGGUCGAGGACGAGAAUCCGGCCCCGCCCCACGCUUUCCCGGACGCUCCAGGAAUUGUUCCACCCCUUAUUCCAUCGGAAAGGUACGAGUAGGGUUUCCACCAUCCCCUCCGGAUAUCUGGAUGUUUCUCCAGAUUUGGAUACACGAUCUUCUGUUCUUGAAUCUAGGUUUUCUCACUCGAUCUCCAUUCCAGGCAAACUCUAUUCAUUUUUAAUCACCUUCGAAUGUUUGGAUAGAGGGAAAUUUCGGACAAUGUGAAGCAAGAUUGGGAGGGUUCCCAGAGUUUAGCGAUGGAUCCACCUUCACUGGUGUCGCAGGUGCCAGUGCUAGAGAUAUGACAAUUCCCGACGGUCGGAGUGCCACCGUCGGGGCCGAGGGUUGGGUGGAUGGCUCCUAGACCGAAGGUCACUACCAUCAGGAACUGAGAUGUGUCGCUGGAUGAGUCCACGGUCAUCAAGCAAAGCAGCGGGAGCCGAGGGAGGAGGAGAAGCGCCUCCAACUCUUCCACGCCCUCAAAGACCUCUCCUCCCCCUCCCUCCAUUUCCUAAAACCCUUGCCCCUUUCUCUCUCCUCUUCUUUAGAGUUUUAGAGAUGGACGGCGGUGAGAGUGACAAGGGGAAGGGGAGAGCGCUUCGAGCGUAGACCAUAAGACGGCCGCUCCCAUCACCCCUUCGCCGCCGUAUCGGGUGGCCGCCGGGGUCUAGCAGAGUCGCACCUCCAUGGACGCCCGGGUGAAGUGGGUCCACCACCGAUUCCGACGAGCGCAUCAUCUUUCAGUGCGCAGCAGGGGAAGAGUGAGGAAAUUAAAAAAGGAAGAUGACGACAAUGAUGACCAUGAGUCUAGAACCGUCAAAAUGAACCAUGGCCCGCGGGCCGGCCCGUUUAGGCCCUUAAAAUAAUAGGGCUGGGCUAGUGUUUUGGUAGCCCGUUUAACAAAAGAGCUUUUUAGCUUGGCCCGUUUAUGGCCCAACCCGUGAAGGGCUGGUCCGUCUAGCCCGCGAGCCGGCCCGUUUCUUUGAUUUUGUGGAGUUUAAUUAGUUUAUGAUAUUUUUUUCUUAUGAAGAUUAUGAUAUUAUUACAAACUUUUUGAAACUAUUUUAUAUUUGCCUUUAGUAUUUUAAAAUUUGAUGUACGGAUUGAUUUUACUUAUUUGAUGAAGUAUUAUGUUUGAGUAGUUUUUUUAUUUUUGUUAUUUUUUUAAUUUUUAUAAUUUUUAAUUAUUUUAAUUUUUUGUUGAGUUAUAAGGGCCGGCCCGUUUAGGCCCGACACUCAUAAGGGCUAGAGCUAGGCUGCCGAUUUGAAAGCCUGUUUAUCAAAAGGGCUUCUUUGGCCCAACCCUAAUGGGCUCGGCCCAUUAAGGGCCGGCCCUCCACGGGCCGAGCUAGCCCGUUUUGACGGCUCUAACCACGACCACGACGAAUGAGUAGCAGAUACCAGAUCCCAUGACCACCCUCCGUGAGCAGCGGAGGUGGUGAUGCGGGAUGGCGACAGGGCAGAAUGGGGGAAGGGAUUUUUUUUCCUCAGCAGCAUCUCAGGAUGCCACAUCAGUUGUCCCUUGCUUCCAUGCAUGUUUGGAUGUAGAUAAAAAAAAGAAAAAGAAGCCAUGUGAGAGAGAAUUUCUCUCAUACUUUUAUUGAAAUUUAUUUUUUUUGAAAAAUAAAUAAAUACAUUAGAAGAUUAUUGAGGAAAAAAAGAAGAUACCACUAUCAGUUCCUCCAUAUAAAAUAUUUAUCGCUACCUUCUUGAGUCAAAAAUUAGUGAAACAGUGCAAUAUGGUUCUCAAUUUAAAUUUUAUUUGAAACAUAAAGUAAUGGGGAACAAUAGUGAUGGAUGUUUUACACUCAUAUAUGUUAGUGUAAUUCAGUGGUACCUGUUUUACAUGAAGCAUGGGAAAAAUUGAAAACAUAAAACUGUAAAAAUUAUUUGUCUUUGCAGUACUCACAUUACAUAUAAGUAGAGAAUUUCUUGAAAAAAAAAUAUCCAAUGUUGGAAGUAGCUUGGCCUUGGACUGAAGUAGAUUUCUAAAUUUUUUUUGAAAAAAUAAAAAGUUUUAAAGUUUGGAUCUUCAAAAUUUUAAUAGCAGAAAUUUUUUUUCUUGAUUUCUAAAAUUUAAAUCUCUUACAAGCCAUUAAUUGGAGGCAUACUCACCAACUGAUUUCUGAUCGGUAUCUCACAUGACCGUCGCCUAUCACCACAUUGGUAUGUUUUCACUCUAUCCCAAGCUCAAAGAUGUUGCUAUCAUUGGUGGCAAUAGUAGCCGAUAGAUAAUAUUGUCGACUCUGCUAUUGAGAAAUAAUAGGUUUAUGAAGGAGCUUUACGAAAUCAGGAUUGUCGAUCAUCACAAGAUUUGUCUAAUAACUUAUAAUCCACACUAUGCACAUAAUAUAAUUUUUAAUUAUUUUUAAAAUAUAUAUAGAAUAGAUAUAAUAAAAUAAAUAAAUAAAAUAAAAUAUUUUUAAAAAAAUUGCAUCUCGUGCAAUGCACGGGGGUUAUAAACUAGUAUAAGUUAAAGAUUGUACCAGAGAACGAGUCAGAUAAGAGAUCUCAUGAUUUUGUGGGAGGCAAAAUCUGAGAGCAAGAUAAGCAUAUUGCAUCACAGAAAGGUGACAACGUUUGAAAUGAAGCAUUACCUAAGAAAAGUGCUGAGGGUUUUCCAGGUCUCGACUUGAACUCUGGAUGAAACUGGACACCAACAAAGUAUGGAUGGGCAGGCAGCUCAAUAAUCUGAAUGAACCAAUACAGAAUCAAAGAUAACCAUCAGAAUUUUGGGGGAAGAAAGGAAUCACAAAAAGGGGAAAAGUUUUCAGGUGCAUACCUCCAUACGUUUUCCAGUUUCAUCUUUACCAACAAAUGUAAGGCCAGCACUUUCAAAUUUUGCAACCAUAUCAGGAUUGACCUGUGAAUAAAUUAAUGGUUAUGAUUGUUAAAUAAAUAAAUAAUAUCAUAAAGACUAGCUCUGGGGCAUUGGCAGCCCUACAGACUUUAAUAAUCUCAUAACAACAUUGACCUAUUGUUAUAAAAGGAAAGAUAAUUGAACAAACCUCAUAUCUGUGUCGAUGCCGCUCAUCUACAUAGCUAACAUUGCCAUACCUAACAAAAAAACAGCGUAACUCAAGAAUCAUAUACCCCAAGUGAAAUGAUAGAACUUCAAAAUCACACAUCACAUGACAAUUAAAGUUCAGGGGAUAUGUUGGUGCUCACAACUUUGCAGCUUUGCAGUCAGUAACCUGGAAAUAUGUCCUUCUUGAUCCAAGACGCAUCGUCCCUCCCAUGUGAGUUUUGGAGCCCUGCAAAUGUAAUUUCAAGGAUAUGUAGGACAAGAACAUUAAGAAAGACCGAGUGGAGCAGCAAAUAUCUAGAAACAACUUCAUGGAGGAUGGUGACAAAAUCAAUUACCUCUGGCAUAAAAAUAACACAUGGAGUUCUUGUAUGAGGGUUAAACUCUGUGCUGUUCGCAUCUUGCAAGUUCAAAACAGAACGGGCAAACUCAAUCACUGCAAUUUGCAUGCCCAGACAAAUGCCAAGGUAUGGAACCUUAUUCUCACGGGCAUAUUUAGCAGCAAGAAUUUUCCCUUGAACCCCUCUGUCUCCAAAACCUCCUGGAACUAGUAUGCCAUCUGCACCCUGAGCUGAAAAACUAUUCAGAUGACUACAACAGAAAACACAUAACUUAAUAUAAAAAUUGAAUUCAUUUGGGACAUUCUAAUAAUUUGUGUUCUUGAGAAUGUAAGACAAGUGCCACAAAAGCAGUCAUCACCUUCAAUAGAUUCCAAGCAGCUCUAUGAGCAUCAGGUGCCUAUACAAGGAAAACAUCAAUUAAUCCUUGAUGCAAAACAGCAACAAGAGAAGGGGCACAUGUGGCUAAGGUAAUAGACUGACCUCUUUUUCAGUAGCGUCUUCAAGAUCAGUAGAUGGAACCCAGUCCACCACAAGUUUUUUACGGCAAGCAACAGAAGCAUGCAAAAGAGCCUGCAAACAGGUUCAAAAGAUGGUAAACAACAACUAUCAUAAAAAUUAUGAAAAGCACAACAUCCGGGAACAUCAGGUGCAUCAACAAGUGCCUGUCCAUCCAUUAGAGUAUGCAUAAACUGAUGGUUAUUCAUGAAAUAAAGAGAAGACCUCAAAUGUUAUAUUCUUACUCUGUGUUUAGUUCACAUUGCAUUUUAUUAUGUGAACAUAGGGAAACCACAUGUAUAGACAAUUAAGAUAGAUACAUUAUAAGUAACAAUAAUCUCAUUCUUCAGUACAUAGUAGAACCAGAACCUCUAUUUCUGUUUCACUUCUCUCUCCUUUCCCCAAAACUGCAGAUGUAAUCAAGACUUUGGACCAAAAGAAAAUGAAAAAAAUUCUAUUGAUGGGCUAUUUUCUUAGGCACACAGGGUGUCUUUAAGGUAAUACACAACUUCUUCCUGGAUUUCAAUCUUUCCACAAUUCCCAAGAUGAACAGUGUGGUUGAAACACACAAAUUUACCAAAGAAGAACAAAAGUGCAUACCAAAUGGUAUGGCCAAUUAUUUCUGAUCAUUUCCUUCCACCAAGCCAUCUCAACAAGCGAUGCAUUUAAUAACCAUAAAAGUUUGCUCUUUUCUGAAGCAAGACUCUUUUAGCACCUUUUUCCACUCAAGUGAGCGAUCAUUAAGUUGCAGUCCCUAAUUUACAGCAUGAUAUGCCCGCUAGGCAAUAUGAUGACGGUAAACUAACUCUAAAGAAUUCAAGCAUAUACAAGGCACAGAAAUUUAGUGGUAGUCAAAGUUGCCCAAAAGGCAAUCCAGAUGAUGGUUGAGAUGCAAGGAAAAAGACUGAAUGAGGGUAAUCCAACUAAGAUCUGUCAACAGUCCUGGCCGUUGACCAUAAUGGUUGCAUUAAUAAAUUAAACAACAAUAUCAAUUCCCACCUAUAUACACUUUGAGGGCCAAUAUCAACUAGACAUUAUUUCGUUUGAAAGUGAGCUUUCUAAUAAGCUGUUUAAUCAGUUAAAAAUCCCAUAAAAAAUGCUAAUAUACUAAAAGGCACAACAGUAACCAGCAAGCACCUCCAAAAGCUUAACCAAGCUGACAGACAAAAUAGUCAACUUAAAAGCACUCAAUACAGCAAAAUGUUAAAAUAAAAUGAUACAAGACCUAUAACAUGCAUAGCAUAAAGCAAGGCAUUGCUGUUAACUAACCACUACUCCAAAAGCUUAAGCUAUUAAGGGUCAACAAUGUAUAUCCAGCCUUAACACACCCUUCAUGAGCAGCCCAAACCAUGCACAUGAAAGCAUUGAGCCGAGUGACUCAAGAUAAGAACUAGUCGAGAACAACUCAAUUGGGAGAAAGUCAAGGGAUGACAAGACUCAAGAAAUGAAUGGGUAAAAUUGGCUUGAGUGAGGAUUUGGAUCCAUGACCUUUAUCUUUGAUACCAUGUUAACUAACCACCAGACCCCAAAAGCUGAAGCUAUUAGGGAAGGGGUCACCAAUACAUAUCAGGCCUUACCAAUUGAAACUCAUAACACAUAAUAAAGGAAAAGAUUGUCUCCAAGCAUUUCAAGUACAGCAUGUAUGUGUAAAUACCAGCUCACACCAGCUAAGUUAAAUCUCACUUUAGUCAGAUAGAAGUGCAAAGUAGAAACUGUGAGAACAAGAAAAGAGCAUUCUUGUCUGCAUUCAUAUCCUUUUAAUAGUUGGAAUAAAUACAACCGCACAUAAUUAGCAGAAACAAUGUUUGACUAAGUUCUAGCCAAUCAAAUACAUAAAUGGUGAAAGCACGGACUGGUGAGUGACAUGGUAUAAUCACCUUCAAUACAGAGAGAUAAGAAUCGGAAAGACCAGUGUAUUUUCCAACCAUGGCAAUCCUAACCUGAAAAGUUAGCAAUGGGAAAAAGAGUAUCAAUCACCAGCCAAACCAACCAGCACCACACGGGUGGGAAGAGAGAGAGAGAGAAGAGGAGGAGGAGGAGGAGGAACUCACAGGAUCAUGCAAUGAAUCACAGAGCUCAGCUCUAUCUGUCCAUUCAACCAAGUUUGGCUCUCGUGCAACUCUGCAUACAUCAAUGAUAACACAACGAGACAAUAAAGCGACUAUAAGCGACUUCUACAGAUUAGAUAUCACCAACAAAAGAGCCAAAAUGCGGAACUUCAGCAGAAAUGACAUAAAAUGGAGUGCAUUGGACAAACCCUUGAAGGUUCAGUACUUUCAAGAUUGCAUCAUGUGCCUUCUGGUCCUAGGGGACAAUGCAUUUUAAAUAAGAUAUUGAAUGAAGUAAGAAUAGUUAUAUGAUUCAGGAAAACAAACAAUUCACUAUUCUGAAAACCAAUUAUACUAUACCCUUAAUAGUAAAGGAAUGUGCCAUAUAUUUGGAACAUCAUUAAGAGUAAUGAUAUUUGAUGCCUGCAAAAAUGUUGUUGAUUGAUUAGCACGAAGGUUACUCCUAAUACUCCUAAACUGCAAAAAGAAUACACCAAUUAUUAAGCUAAUUACUAUACCGGAACAUGGCAAAACUGUGAGAGUUUUUCUUUUACAUUUUCAUUCAGCACCUGUCAAAACCACUCAAAUAGACUAGUCAUAAAGUGCCGCAAAUGAAUAAAAAUGAAGAAAAAGGAAAGUCAGAGGGCAGAAAGGACUGGAGUGGAGACCUUAGUACUGCGACAAGCCAAGAUAUUUGGUGUCAACCCUAGUCCUCUUAGACCACGAACACUAUGCUGGGUUGGCUUAGUUUUCUACAAGGAUAGGAAAGAAUAUUAUUAUCCUAACUGAAAUAUCACAAUAAAAGGAAGAAAAAUUGGGUAUUGACUGAUUAUACAAGCCAAUUUUUAGUGGGAAUGUAAAUUGAGUACUAAAAUUUCUAUAGAGUGCACAACUAUUUUAACACGACUUGCCUGUUCACCGACUACACUCAAAACAGGCACAAGACUGACGUGAACCAGACAGAAGUUACCAGGACCUGAAACAAAAACCAAAGGAGAAAUAUCAUUAUGAAAGAGUACAAGAAAGGAAGUUGAUUUCAAAACCAACAAUCUUUACACGGGUGCCUGCACUGUCCGCUCACCUACACGAUAAGAAAAUUGACCCAAUGCUUCAAUAAAUGGCAUGGAUUCAAUAUCCCCUGCAUCAAGAAUUCCAUUGUCGUUAUGCCGUGAAAAGAUCGUGGCUCCUGCAUCGCAGACUUACACCACUAUGGGAAGUAUCAUGCAAAUUGUAAUUUUUCAAAGAGCAAUUUCCAAAAAGCACCAACAUAUUGUUUUAUAUUUCCCUAUUAUGAUAAACAGCAAUUUAGAAUUUCUUAUCACCUAUAGUUCCACCCAAUUCUAUAACACAAACAUCAGCAGGUCCUUCUUUGCCAUCCACAGGUAUCAUGGCCACACGUUCUAUCCAUUCUUGUAUGGCAUCUGUUAUGUGUGGCACAACCUUAAAAAGAAAAUGAUGACACAGCUUCAAAAACUUAGGAAAUACAGACAUACAUGGGCUAUCCAACUGACAAAAUGAGGAAAAAAAAAAAAGAUGCAAGCAAUACACACACACCUGCACUGUUUUCCCUAGAUAGUCUCCCCUCCGCUCCUUGUCAAUGACAAACUAUCACCAAACACAACACACAAAAAAAAAAAGGGGGAGGGUGGGGUGAGAGAAGGUGAGCAGAUAUGAAAGCAAAAGAGAAAGCAAGGCCAUGGUGAUCAGACAUUAAAUUAAAAAUUAAAAAAAGUUGACCACAAAAUAUUUCCUGAUUACAGUUCCAUCAUACUUAAAAAUAGGCUUUUUAAUGCAAUACAUCUGCAUCCAGAAAGCCUGAUUAAUUGAAUACCUGGUAGAUCUUCCCAGUGGUGAUAUUGUUAUCACGAGUCAAUUUGAUAUCUAGGAAUCGUUCAUAAUUUCCAAGAUCCAAGUCCACCUUCAAUAUUUUAAAAAAAAAGGCACAUAAGGCGCAACAAUUUCAAUGUAGCAUAGCUGAAACCUCAUAAUAACAAGAAAGAAUGUAGAAUCUUCCCAAACAUGAAGAAAUUAUGAAGCAAGAGUUAGAAGUUUACUUGGAUGGCUUUGAGGCAACUGAACAUGUUUAAACUACAAGCCAUUACCUUCAAGUUUAAAAGAGGAAAGAAAGGGGGGUGCGGGGAGAGAGAGAGAGUCAAGCUAUUCAAACCAGAGUUUUGAGAAACUUUAAAAGAUGAUGAUGAUGAUGAAAUUCCAAAGUUUUAUUCUGGGGAAUUAAAAAAAAAUCAUGUUUAAAAUGUAAAAAAAUGUAACAUGAUUGCUUCAACAACAUCCCACUUAGCAGACAUCUUCAGCCAAACAGAGUGAGAAGAAGGGAUGUAGAGGUGUUACACCUUCAGAAAUCUAAAACAGUAUGCAGGAACAUGGCAGGGAUCAGAAGCAUUCUUUACCUCACCACCAUCAUCCAAAACAAACACUUCCCCAUGCUCAAAUGGGGACAUCGUUCCAGCAUCAGUGUUCAGAUAUGGAUCUGCAUGCGUAUGUAAGCAUAAGUCAUCCUCGUCAAAAUAAAAUAAAACAUGUGACAUCAUUCAUCAACCCACUGUGGAUUGGACAUUGACACAAAGGAUGGAAAAGGCACGAUGAUCUCAGCAUGUAAACCUUUUAAUUUGACACAUCCACGUAGAUAUGUUUUGAUAUUAUAAAGAAUAUAAGACUUAAUAAACAGAAAGACAGUCAAGAAAAUAGGAUUGCAUAAUCCUUCUAAUAAUCUUGAGAAAAGAACUGCUAUGACUGAACAAAUUGAGUGGCAGUGCAGAAGAUGUAUCAAAGCCAAUGUUUGAUCUCAAUUCAUGUCAUAAGAGGCAAAAGUACCCAAAAACGGUGGUCCAGGAAGCAAGCACUGAGACAAAAGAUGAUUCAAAGCACCAUAACAACAGAUUCGCCUCAGUAUAUAAAAGAACAAAAGAAAAAAGCCACCUACCUUUACCCCCUUUCUUUUGUUCUUUCGUUGAGUUAAAACUAAUUUUAAAGAAAAGGUACCUAUAUAUCAGUCUUUUGGACAAAGUUUAAAUUAAAAUAACUAAACAUCCACGAUUUCUGCAAGGAAAACACAAAACAAUGUUAGAAGCCAAAACCUAGGGUGAGUUUGAAAAAAUUAAAUCAAGAAGAUGCCAUAUUUCACCUGGGCUUGUACAAUGUCUAUGUCCACAGUACUACUCCCACGAUAUAAGAAAAACCCAGAAAGAUAUAAAACUGACUACCAACCGAAAGGGUACUAAUCCAAGUCAGUGGCCAAAAAAAAAAAAAACAACCAAAAUUUGUCAUGCCCCAAGAAAGAUAAAGCUAGAAACUACUAUUUACACCAUCUUUCUUAUCUUCAAAAUAGCAACUUGCAAGUUCUCUGCCAUUAAACUAAGAUGAUUAGUUUCGCAAAAACAAUUGAUUUCUCUUGUUAAAGCCUUCAUGCUGCAAAAAGACCUCAUUACAAAGGGUCUUUUCUCUAAAGAAAGAAGAGUCAAGCAUAUUCGAAACAGGAAUGACAACAAAGAGGAAGGGAAUGGAAAUGAUAUCUAUACCCCAAAAAAGACCUCAUUUCCUAAAGAAAUAAAAGAAAAUUACUAUUUCGGACCGAUAUUACAAAGAGGAAGGUGAGAUAAAAACUAAUAUUGAUGGAGGUGAAAGAUCGAUGCCCAUUAAAAAAAGACCGCAUUAGAAAUAAAGGUUUCAAAAAAAAAGAAAAGGUCAUUUAAAACAAAAACUUCAACGAAAAAGGUAUGGCAAAAACCAAAUCUUGAUGGAUGUGAAUACUCUAUACUAGUAAAAAAGUACUCAUUGGAGAGGAAAACUCAUUCUUUUCUUCAAAAAGAAGCAAAAGGGUCAUUUAGAACAUAUAUUUCAAAGAGAAAGCCCAACAAAAGCCAAUCUUGAUAUGUAUCAAAAAAAAAGCCAAUCUUGAUGAAGGCAAGACUAUACCCCCAACCGACUCUCAUUGGAAAGAAAGAGUCCACCUUUUUCCAGAAACGAGCCGAAAAAUCAUCAAAAGACAGGAUUUUUAAGAGAAAGACAAGGCAAAUACCGAUCUUGAUGGACGUAACACGGAGGCCGCACGCCUUGAGGACUACUCCUAUGCUGCUAGCCGUCACGCCCUUCCCCAGCCCGCUCACCACUCCCCCUGUCACCAAUACGUACUUCAUCUCCUCUUUCUCUCUCUCUCGCCUUCUUUCUACCGCAAAACAACGAACAAGGAGAAGAUUGGAAACAAAAACGAAGAAGAGAAGCGAUAAGAAUCUCGGCAGCGAGAGGGACCACGAGCUCAGUGAGAAAAGAACACGAGAAAGGUAUCGGCGGCGGCGGCGACGAAACUCUCUCGUUCUCUGCCUAUUUAUAGCUCUCUGUUUCCCCACCGGCGGCGUUGCAAGGAACGAGACGAAGUAGGGAGAAAGAAGAAGGGAACAAAAAUUAGGACGGAGAGAAUGGACGGACGAGGGGAUUAAAUACCCUCCGAAGGCCUCCUUGGCUCCCCCCCCUCAACCCGCCUACGCUCUCCUGUUCAUUAAAAUAUAAGAAUUUAGAGUAUUGGCAGGAGAAUUUUUUUCUCUUUUCUUCUUUUUUAAUUGUUUUAGCUUCCUGGAAAGACCCCAGCACUACAAAUGUACCUCUUUUCUUGAUCAGGGUUUUCCGCUCGUUCACAUUGCUUUCCAAAAACAAAAAAAUCCACACUUUUUACGUAAAUAGGUGUCUAAAUAUAUAAAUAUUACUUAUAAGCGAUUACCUAUUUUGCUAUUGGUUGCGGGUCUUCGGAGAUAACAUUAUAACACCCUCAUUAAGUGGGUUCGGGUUUUAUCUUUCACACGAUAGGAUGAUCAAUCUUCUUUCGCGAUUGCGAUCAUUAGAUCGUGCAUUAUAUAAAUCUCAAAGUAUAAUAAUUUUUGAAGAUAUAAUUUCUCACGAAACUGUAAUCAUAGGAUGAUAAUGGAUGAAAAGAAGUGGCUGCAAUAUUUUGAGAUCUAAGUAAUGCAUAGUCUAAUAAUUUUUAUCAUAAAAUAAAAAUUUUUUUCAUACAAAGGAUAAAAUUAAAAUUUGAAUUAAGCAUAGAGUGCUAUGUCAAUAUAAAUAGUAAAAAUUAGGCGGCACAUGUCCAUUUAAACAUUGAUACAAUAUACAAGGCCGGCACAAGAAACAAAUAGUACAUGCUUGAAGCAAAAUAAUAUUUAUUUUAUUUUUUUAGAUAAAAAUAAUGUAUCAUAUUAUUUUAAUAAAAAUACAUCAUAAGAAUCCGAAUAAAAAUAUCUCGAAGCUUUUCAAUAACAAAAAAAUCAACACCCUUUUUAUUUCAUCAUGAAUUUGUACCUAUUUUAUCCAUCUUUACAAAUUUACAUUCUCGAUCGAGAGUAGCAUAGAUGACGUAGUUUAUUUGUUAUCGUCGAUAAUUUUUGAUACUCGUUGGUUAGUAGCAAUGGCGAAUUAAAGUAUGUUAUCCCCUUUACUUAGGUUACAUCUCACCCUCUAUUGGAUUUUGGAUUUUUCCCAUGCUCUUGUGGUAGCGGUUUUGGCCGUUGUGGAGGCCGUUUGUGGUUAAGGAUUAGAUCACAGGCGGCUCAUCCGUCAGGUUGUCCAAGGAAACUUGGUGAGAGUCAAAGAUUUAGCCACCCAAAGCCAUCGUUAUACUUGGCUCAAACUAAUUUGCCCAAAAAAAUUUAGCCAGCCAACCCCUACUUGGGCCACCAUUGCCGGCAGCCGUAGACGUUCCUAAGAUUUCGCCAAUCACAUAAUACCAUAUUGGUAGUUCAGAUAAAUUCUUUUAUUUUAUUAAAAUUGUAUUAAAAUAUAAAAAAAAAUAUAGUAGCAACACCCAUUCUUUUUAGAUUUCACGAGGUAAAUAGUAUUAGCGCAUGGGAAGAAUGAAAUUUUUGCAUAUUUGUCGGUUGCUUCCCUUCAAUGAAACGAGUUACACAAUAUGACCUAAUUCCAACAAUUGAGAUGCGACGUGUUGCUGGAUUGUUGGACCUAUAUUUGUAAUUUAUCGACCAAGGUUCACUUGUUUCAAGGUUCAUACAGAAACAAAAUUAUCCCACAUCCACUUUAAAAAAAUAAUGAAGCUAUCGCUCAUCACAGGGAGAGAUUUUUUUUAUAUAUAUAUAAAAAAAAAAACUGAAAAAUAAAAAUAAGACAAAGCUAACCUUUAGUUUGUGAAUUGUGAAAGGAAUGCCAGCACUAUAAUUUGAACUCUAGACCUUCCAGAAAGGCUGGUCAGUAGCUGUGCUUCUAGAAAGUUAGGCUUGGAUUGGCAACAUAAGGUUGAUCGCCAUCUUAGUUCAAACUGUGUAAGCUUGUCAUCAUAUGAACAGUUCAAGCUCCAUAAACAUAUCCCAUGCAGGCCUCUCCAAGCCUGAAAACUAUAACUGGCUCGUUGUAUGAACGAAGGAGUUACUGACUCAAAGACAAGUUACAUAAACGGCUUUAUUUUUGCAGUUUUUGAUUAUUAGAGCGACCAGACGAGAGACCAUCGAUCCCAUGUCCCCCGUUGACAAGAUCAUGUUCGCUAAACCAUAUUAGCGAUCGUGCCCUUUGCGGGAUAAAUACCAAAGAAGCAUCACUCCCCACAUGUCACGGGGGCCUGUGUUUUUCUUGGUAUGAAUAAGUCGUCCGCUGGUUGGUGGGCUCUCCUUGACAUCGGUGAGAAGAGAAACUCUGGUUGUUUUCGAGCAAGGAUCCUCUGUGGUGCAUGCUGCAGCACAUGAAGCUAUAAGGCAUGAAUGGUUGUCAUCAAAAGAUGAUCAACUCUCGUAUACCGUAUCAUAUACGAUUCAUAUUUUUUGAUGGCCGUCCAUCUUUUGAUGGUGAUUAUAUGUAGAGAUGCACAAUACUCUAUAAUGUACGAGUUAUACCAUAGAAGAUUCUGAUUGUUUUUACAAGCAUAUUUUCUUUCAUGCGAAAGAUGAAGUUUGGAGUUUGGUCCUGUGAUGGCCAAAAAAAAAAAAACGGCCCCUAUUGCACAAGUGCUUGAGAAAAGAAUAUUCUCAAAUUAUAUAAUAACAGCGUACAAAGGUCAAUGUUGCUGGCAGCCUCACUUUCCGAAAGCUAAACGAAGAAGAUAUUAUCAGGUUGGAGAACCGGGGACCAUGCAGAAUAAUUCUUUCUUCCAUCGAAAGGAAAGAAUGUAAAAUCUCUCAUUUUUCUUGUGCGAGGUAAUUAUGAUGGCAUGAUAAGGGUUGUAUCACAAUCCACGGAGUAGGGACGGGGGGGCAGUGGAUGAGGACCGGUUGGGGAACUGGCAUGGCUCAUAUAUACCUAACAUAAACUUGGAUGUGACUUAUAAUUGGGAUCCAAUUUCAGGUCAUACAUUCAUUCUUGAUGCUUAAAUUGGAUUAAAUUUAUUGAAUCUACGAUGAAUCCAACCAUAUAAGGUACUUGCUUCUUGUUUUUUGUUGUGUCAACCUCCGUAUGCAGAUCUGUGAGCAAAUAUCGAGUUGAGGCAUUUUGUAUUGUUCGUUGCAAAAUUUUUUUUGCACCGCAGACAGUUUGCAAAAAAAAAAAUUCUUGCACGGGAUUGGAAAAAAGAAUAUUUUUUUUUUCACAUCGUAUUCUGAUUCUGUAGACGGUGUGUGCGGUUCUAUACCAUCCACAGUGUACAAAAAAAAUUUCUCACUGUUCAUUAAGUUUCAAAACACACAACUUGUCUACUCUAAAAAUAGAUAGAGCAAUGGAUGGGUGAUAUAACAGUUCAUGACAUUUUGUUCUGCAAGCAGAUGCGGACCAUGAGAUAACAGAUUUUUGUAUAAGUUUGUACAAGCAAAUAGGACCGGUCAUGUUGGAUGACGUGCAAGGCCUUCAAGAUUUCUUAUGGUUGGGGCAAGCUGCCAAUUCAUUGCCUUGAAGCAGACUUUUAAAAAUGUGGAAGCAACUAACUAUCCCUUAGGUUAGGGUUAGUAUUUUUUUUUUUUUUUUUUUGUGUGUGGAAAUGGAGGAUUCACUUUUUUUUUUUUUUAUGCAAAUCCAUUAUUAGAUUGUCUAUCAUAAGAUCUCAAAUCACUCCAAACUCUAUUAUUUAUUUGUCUGCAUAAAGUUCGAAAUAAUUACCAAUAAAUUUGUGACAAAGACGCACCUUUGACUCUGAUCCUUUGCAUGCUUACCAGGUAAAAUUUUAAGUAAAACUAUUUUUCUAAAAAACAAAAUGAAACAAUUAAAUUAAUAAUUUUUAAAGUGCUUAUAUCUUGUCAUCAAAUAUGAGGAUGGGAAUAAAUAUAACCAGUUAUAUGGAACCAUUUUCAUAUCCCACGCAUCAGAUAUUUCUUUAAAGAAAAGUGCUAUGAUGCUUUUUAAAUAUUUUUUUAUAAGAAAAAAUAGAAAAUAUCUUAGCCAUCUAUUUGAUAGAAUAGCUACGAAAUUUCUAUUUUAAUAAGUGAACAAACCGGUUAGCCAUCUUAUUUUAUUUAUUUGAAGAUGAUUUUUGGACAAUAUCUCUUGCUUCAGAAAAUUUGGCAACUGGCGAGCACAUGAACGAAUUUUCAGACCACACACAUCUGUCGAAAGGCAAACUAAGCUGCAGAUUGAGUCAUCUUCUUCGUAGAUAAGCAUAUCGGAGAUUGGAUUUAGGAAGACCCAUGCUACUGCUCUGAUUGAACUUAGUUUGAUUUUUACCGGAUGAUGAGCGUACCCUUGGCAUUCGUCAUAAUUUACAUCUUUGCUCCAAUAAUUCAAAAAGUCCAGAGCCUAGCAUGUGUAUUACAUUUGGAAUGUUUCAUGACACGCCAAGAAAGCACCAAAAAAAAAAGGGAAGAAGAGAGUCCAGUGG